rnacentral:rRNA from 1 species
AUGCAACAAGACAUUUGCUACGCUCUCCAAGAACUACCUUUGGCCCGAGAAGUUUCGCGACGUCAACCGCUACACCAACGAUGCUCUACAUGUCACAAAGCUAAGUCUAAAGCUCAAUCUCAUGGCCUUUACAUGCCACUUCCAAUUCCAUAUCAACCAUGGGAAGAUAUUAGCAUGGAUUUUGUGCUUGGUUUGCCUAGAACUAGAAAUGGCAAGGAUUCCGUUUUUGUUGUUGUGGACCGAUUCUCAAAAAUGGCACAUUUCAUUCCUUGCAACAAGAUAGACGAUGCUUCACAUAUUGCCAAUCUCUUUUGUAGGGAAAUCUUGCGCCUUCAUGGAGUACCAAAGACAAUUGUCUCGGACCGUGACGUCAAGUUCUUGAGUUACUUUUGGAAAACUUUGUGCGCCAAGCUCGGAAUCAAGCUCCUAUUCUCCACGGCAUACCAUCCGCAAACCGAUGGCCAAACGGAGGUGACGAACCGUACACUCUCCACUCUCCUACGCGUGUUGAUAAAGAAAAACAUCAAAGAGUGGGAGGAGUGCCUACCUAUCGCCGAGUACGCCUACAAUCGUGCAAGACAUUCGACUACCGGCAAGUCCCCCUUUGAGGUCGUCUACGGUUUCAAUCCAUUGUCACCAUUGGACAUUCUUCCUCUACCACUACAAGAGCGCAUCAACAUGGACGCGAGUGCCAGAGUGAAC